AGAGUUUGAUCAUGGCUCAGAACGAACGCUGGCGGCAUGCCUAAUACAUGCAAGUCGAACGAGCCUAGCAAUAGGCGAGUGGCGGACGGGUGAGUAACGCGUGGGAACCUGCCCUUGAGUGCGGGAUAACCGAGGGAAACUUCGGCUAAUACCGCAUACGCCCCGGGCAACUGGGGGAAAGAUUUAUCGCUCGAGGAGGGGCUCGCGUCGGAUUAGCUAGUUGGUGGGGUAACGGCCUACCAAAGAAUAUACCGUAGCUGGUCUGAGAGGAUGAUCAGCCACACUGGGACUGAGACACGGCCCAGAUUCCUACGGGAGGCAGCAGUAGGGAAUAUUGGACAAUGGGGGCAACCCUGAUCCAGCAAUGCCGCGUGGUGAUGAAGGCCUUAAAUGUAAAGCUCU
rnacentral:rRNA from 1 species